GGAGCUGCCAUCUUUAUUUUAUUUUCUCCUCCCAUUAUGACCAAAAGCCUUUCCCUAAUUUCUUCCACCGGAAUUGCCAGAGAGAGAAAGAGCUAAGGGAGAAAAUUUCGGCUGCUGGAGAGAAAAUUCCGGCAGCCGAGAAAGUUGUAGAAAGGAGAAGAAAGUCCAGUCCAACCUGCUACCGAAAACAGUUUCUUGCAGCCCCCUUAUUGUUGGAUUUCGAGAAGAAAAAAGAGGGAGAGAAGAGCAACCACCAGUAGCCAAGAAGAGAGCCACUGGCGACAGCACAAAGAGGAAAAAGAGGAAGCUCAAGGCCGCCAUCUUCUUGCCGAAAAAUUGCAGGUGACAAGAUUAGAGGUGAAGACGGCAACAAGGUGGUGACUUAGUGAUGAAGAAGCAUGCGAUAGAUGGAGUUAUAGGUGUAGAUAGCCAUAUUAUUAUAUGGUUUGAUAUUUAGGGACAUUAUUUUUUUUUAGUAGUUUGAUUUUGAAUUUGAGAUAUUUUACAUUAUAUGCUUAGGGAUUAUUCUAUGAUAAGGGUUUUUAUUAUUUUUUUUAAAUAAAGACUUUGAAGUGAUAUUAAGAUAUUAUUGA